AGUGAACGCUGGCGGCAGGCCUAACACAUGCAAGUCGAGCGGCAGCACAGUAAGAGCUUGCUCUUACGGGUGGCGAGUGGCGGACGGGUGAGGAAUACAUCGGAAUCUACUUUUUCGUGGGGGAUAACGUAGGGAAACUUACGCUAAUACCGCAUACGACCUACGGGUGAAAGCAGGGGAUCUUCGGACCUUGCGCGAUUGAAUGAGCCGAUGUCGGAUUAGCUAGUUGGCGGGGUAAAGGCCCACCAAGGCGACGAUCCGUAGCUGGUCUGAGAGGAUGAUCAGCCACACUGGAACUGAGACACGGUCCAGACUCCUACGGGAGGCAGCAGUGGGGAAUAUUGGACAAUGGGCGCAAGCCUGAUCCAGCCAUGCCGCGUGGGUGAAGAAGGCCUUCGGGUUGUAAAGCCCUUUUGUUGGGAAAGAAAAGCAGCAGGUUAAUACCCCGCUGUUCUGACGGUACCCAAAGAAUAAGCACCGGCUAACUUCGUG
rnacentral:rRNA from 1 species